rnacentral:rRNA from 1 species
GAUGAACGCUAGCCACAGGCUUAACACAUGCAAGUCGAGGGGUAACGAGAGGAAAGCUUGCUUUCCUUGUCGACGACCGGCGCACGGGUGAGUAACGCGUAUCCAACCUGCCCCCAACCAGGGAAUAACCUUGCGAAAGUAAGACUAAUACCCUAUAAUUUCCUCAGAUGUCAUCUGACGAGGAAUAAAGAUUUAUCGGUUGUGGAUGGGGAUGCGUCUGAUUAGCUUGUUGGCUGGGUAACGGCCCACCAAGGCAACGAUCAGUAGGGGUUCUGAGAGGAAGGUCCCCCACAUUGGAACUGAGACACGGUCCAAACUCCUACGGGAGGCAGCAGUGAGGAAUAUUGGUCAAUGGGCGGAAGCCUGAACCAGCCAAGUAGCGUGCAGGAUGACGGCCCUAUGGGUUGUAAACUGCUUUUAUACAGGAAUAAAGUUAGCCACGUGUGGUUAUUUGUAGGUACUGUAUGAAUAAGGACCGGCUAAUUCCGUGCCAGCCGCCGCCGUAA